rnacentral:rRNA from 1 species
UGGGGAAUCUUCCGCAAUGGACGAAAGUCUGACGGAGCAACGCCGCGUGAGUGAUGACGGCCUUCGGGUUGUAAAGCUCUGUUAAUCGGGACGAAAGGCCUUCUUGCGAAUAGUGAGAAGGAUUGACGGUACCGGAAUAGAAAGCCACGGCUAACUACGUGCCAGCAGCCGCGGUAAUACGUAGGUGGCAAGCGUUGCCCGGAAUUAUUGGGCGUAAAGCGCGCGCAGGCGGAUCAGUCAGUCUGUCUUAAAAGUUCGGGGCUUAACCCCGUGAUGGGAUGGAAACUGCUGAUCUAGAGUAUCGGAGAGGAAAGUGGAAUUCCUAGUGUAGCGGUGAAAUGCGUAGAUAUUAGGAAGAACACCAGUGGCGAAGGCGACUUUCUGGACGAAAACUGACGCUGAGGCGCGAAAGCCAGGGGAGCGAACGGGAUUAGAUACCCCGGUAGUCCUGGCCGUAAACGAUGGGUACUAGGUGUAGGAGGUAUCGACCCCUUCUGUGCCGGAGUUAACGCAAUAAGUACCCCGCCUGGGGAGUACGACCGCAAGGUUG